ACUAUGAUUGCUAGGUGAUAUGGUAAAUAAAUAAUUUAGUUUUAUGAGAAACUGCCAAAAUGUUUUGCAAAGUAGUUGUACCAUUUUACAUUCCCACCAGCAAU
rnacentral:pre_miRNA from 1 species